rnacentral:lncRNA from 1 species
UUUUUUUUUGUUUUGAGACAGGGUUUCUCUGAAUAGCCCUGGCUGUCCUGGAACUCACUUUGUAGACCAGGCUGGCCUCGAACUCAGAAAUCCACCUGCCUCUGCCUCCCAAGCGCUGGAAUUAAAGGCGUGCGCCACCACCGCCCAGCCCUUAGUCAGGGUUUCUAUUCCUGCUCGAACAUCAUGACUAAGAAGCAAGUUGGGGAAGAAAGGGCUUAUUCAGCUUACAAUUUUACAUUGUUUAUCACCAAAGGAAGCCAGGACUGGAACUCAAGCAGGUCAGGAAGCAGGAGCUGAUGCAGAGGCCAUGGAGUGAUGUUCCUUACUGGCUUGCUUUCCCUGGCUUGCUCAGCUUGUUUUCUUACAGAACUCAAGACUACCAGCCAGGGAUGAUCCCACCCACAAGGGGCCCUUGAUCACUAAUUGAGAAAAUGUCUUGCAGCUGGAUCUCAUGGAGACAUUUCCUCACCUGAAGCUCCUUUCUCUGUGAUAAUGCUAGCUUGUAUCAAGUUGGCACACAAAACCACCCAGUACAAUGGGUCUAUAUGGGGUCAAGGGUGGAUUUGGCAGACUGAGAAAGGAGGGUAAAUAAGUAUGGCUGGUGGGAGUAGGCAGGCAAGAUUUGUAGUGAAAAUGCAUUGUAUCACUUGAGAUGGGUGAGAAUAGUGGAGUGAGAAAUAACUCCUUAAAACUUUAAAAAAAAAUGUAACUGAAAUGGGUGUAGUGGUACAUAUUUGGAAUCCUAGCUCUUGGGAAGCUAGCCAGGUGGAACAUGAAUCAAAGGCCAGUCUUGACUACAUAGUAAGACCUUAUCUCAAAGAACAGAGGGAAGGUGAGAUGGGUGUGGUAAAGAGCUGGAGAAAGUUGUUUACCUUGCCAGAGACUGGUGUCUAGACCUGAUGUUCCUUGCAGUAUUUACAGCCUCAUUUUCCCUAAGAUAAAGUUCAGUAAGUAGAACAGUACAGGUUAUAGAGGCAAUGGGUGUGUGUGUGUGUGUGUGUGUGUGUGUGUGUGUGUAGAGAGAGAGAGAGAGAGAGAGAGAGAGAGAGUGUGUGUGUGUGUGUGUGUGUGUGUAUGUGUGAGUGGGCAGCUUCUUAGAACACAAUGUAAUAUUAUAGAUUUAGGUCACAUCUUGUAGUAGUUAAGGAAGUUAGAGAAGCUAAAAUACAGAUUUGGCUAUUAAUUGGAACUUAAAGAAGAGAUGACUUUUUAAACCUUCAGAGGACAUCAAAAUAGACAAAUUUCUCUACAAGAAUAUUAGAAACUUAAUAGAAAACCAUGCUGUGACAUACAAAAACCAUCAAGCCUUUUUAGACUAGUUAUAGUCACAUAAAGGCAAUACAAACUACAAAUGAUGACCAGAGAAAUUCAAGCUAAUGACAAGACAUGCUUGCUUGCUUUUAAUAUAUCUUCUCUUUAUCCACAAAACAAAGCUUGUGUUGCUGCUGGCCAGUAUGACUAGUACCCACAUUCCAAUUCUGUAUAUUAUUAGCAUUACCCUUUGCACAGAAGUUGAUAUUCAUAGAAUUGCUGAAUCUUUCAAAUUAGGUUAUCCUAAAUCAGUCAGAAAUUCAUCAAAAGUUAAAUGAAGUAAGAAUAUUUUGUCUAGCUAUGGUGGUGCACACCUGUAAUCCCAGUUACUCUGAAGGUUGAAGAAAGGGAAUUGAAAGUUCCUAGACAGCCGGAACCACACUAAGCUCACACUAAAACAGGAGGGGCAACUUAAGAAAAUCCUGCGU